AUAGUUGACCUUUAUAUACUGCACCUAAAUUAGCUAUUGUUUGAAAAAAGAUCUAGGUGUGAACGCUGUCCGGGAUCCUUGAGGUCCUUAGAGAAUUUUUACACACCUAGACAUGAUGAACUUUGGCAUUUGAGGCUAUUGGAGACUUGGAAGUCAUUAGGGCCUACUGUAGGCUCUCUAUAAAUUAACUCAUGCUCAUUCAUGUACUUUUAUUUAAUUUAUUGGUCUAUAAUAAUUAUUAUAAACAACAUUGGGGUAAUUAGUUAAAAUAGGUGGCAAGUGAUAUAUGUUGAGUAAAUCGGGUAGAUACCAUACCUAUAGGGUGUUGUUAAUUCAAAUGCAUUUGCUAUGUUUGCUUUACUUUCAUAGUAUUAGAAACCAUGCCUAUAGGAUCUAAAUGACUUUAAUAAUAGAAAGCACGCCUAUAAGGUUAAAAUUAGCUUUAUAUUUAGAUAUCAUGCCUAUAAAGAUAAUGUAAUUGAAGUUCAGUUUUUGUUACAACAUGUAUUCACCUUCUUCUUCUUCUUCUUCUUCUUCUUCUUCUUCUUCUUCUUCUUCUUCUUCUUCUUAUUCUCAGAUAUCAUGCAUAUAAGUUCAAUAGUCGGCUUUAAUAACUAGAUACCAUGCCUAUACAGAUUAAAAUCAUCUCUAAUAACUAGAUACCAUGCCUAUAGAGAUUAAAAUUAGCUCUAAUAGAAAUCAUGCGUAUAGAACUUAAAAUCAGUUAAGUUAAAUAAAUAGUUUAAUUCACGUUUGCUUUCUCUGAAUUGGAUUAAUCAAUUAAUAUGUAUCCUCUUUAAUAAGUUUUAAAACGUUGCCUUAAAUUAAUACUGCUAGAAAAGAGGAUCUUAAAUUGUCUGUUUAAAAUUGCUCACUAUCUUACCCCAUUCCUAGUCAAUAUAGAUACUAUGCUUUUAGGACGUCACUAUUAUGCUUUAGGCAAGCCUCUAGGACGAUUUACAUUCAGUAACUAUAAAAUUGUGCUUUGUUAUUUGAUACUGUUCAGAUCAGAUUUAACAGGUUUAAAAUUAGUAGGCAAGCUAAAUAGGUCUUCGACUUUGUCCUAAUUCAAUACUGUAUAAUCCGCGCUCGCUUAGAUAUCAUGUUCUAGGAUUUUCUUUUAAAUACCUGACUGUUGAUUGAAGACGUGCAUUUAUUUGUUAUAUUUGUGGAGGUGACUACGAGCCUGUAAUUUGUUCUCUUUAAAUGCAGUCCUACCUGUUCUUGAUUGAUGCCUAGACUUUUAUCCUUUAAAACCUUAGUAUGGAAAAGUAGAGGUCCUAAAUACCUCUAAGGCUAUGAGAAAGGGAUGAGUAGUGAACGCAUAGGACAUUUUCAAGGUUGCUAGAUCGCUUUAGGCUAUGACAAAAGGAAGAAAAUUGGGUAGUAAGGAUAUGAUGACUACGCGCUAAUGUCAUGUGUAGCCCCUCAUUGAGGAGUGCUUACCAGGCAUUGCAUAGGGUG
rnacentral:lncRNA from 1 species